GUAAGGAAUAUUGGACAAUGGACGCAAGUCUGAUCCAGCCAUGCCGCGUGAAGGAUUAAGGUCCUCUGGAUUGUAAACUUCUUUUAUAAGGGACGAAAAAAGGCUUUUCUAAGUCGUCUGACGGUACCUUAUGAAUAAGCACCGGCUAACUCCGUGCCAGCAGCCGCGGUAAUACGGAGGGUGCAAGCGUUAUCCGGAUUCACUGGGUUUAAAGGGUGCGUAGGCGGGCAGGUAAGUCAGUGGUGAAAUCCUAGAGCUUAACUCUAGAACUGCCAUUGAUACUAUCUGUCUUGAAUAUUGUGGAGGUAAGCGGAAUAUGUCAUGUAGCGGUGAAAUGCUUAGAUAUGACAUAGAACACCUAUUGCGAAGGCAGCUUACUACGCAUAUAUUGACGCUGAGGCACGAAAGCGUGGGGAUCAAACAGGAUUAGAUACCCCUGUAGUCC
rnacentral:rRNA from 1 species